GAAACUCAAAGGUGGUCUUGGCAGCUGGGACUCAGACCUCUGAGAAGCGGGUGAUACUCAGCUGGUGCUGGGUGUCUCUGAGGGGCCCCGUGAGGUUGGUUCUACAGGCCUUGAAGAAACUGCGAGCUGUUUUCAGCUGCUGCUGCAGGGCCUGCUGCUUCUGGGACCACGCUUAUAGGAACAGGAGAGAGAGGGAAGCAAACUGGAGGGAGCAAGUCCCUGCCUCCUCCUCCAGCCUCGCACUUGCUCUCUAACGCCCCCUAUUGGCAGGGCCUGGCAGGGAGCCGCUACAAAGCAGGAAUUUGGUUUGCGGAGUCCCAGCCACCAAGUCACAAAGCUGAGCACAGAAGCCCCGCCACCACGCACACACCUUGUAGACUCCUCCUUCAUUGCUGUGUCUGCCCUGUAGAAUACAGCUGUUGGACUUCACCCCCUCUCUCAGUGACAUGCCACGAUGGGGGAAACUGUUGCCUGCUCCUGGGAGCAAGCUGUUCUCUCUGCCAGUUGUCCAAACAAUGGAAAUUUCCAGGAUUCUUUGCUGCAGUUUUUCAAAGUUAAUGGACAUAGCUGACUUUUGAAAAAGCUAGCUGUUACCAGGGGCCAAGAGGAGUAUGAGAGAAAAAUGCUUACCUCCGGACUCUCCAAUGUGGAGGAAAAAUUCUGUCUAAAGAGAUGAGCAACAAUGACAAAAAUGCCCCCCUGCUCUUUAUAAAUCCUCAUUCUGGUUCUCACACCACAGGUUACCAGGACCCAGGUGGGAUGCUAAGACAGGGAGGCUAGACAGAACAAGAUAGGAUCU
rnacentral:lncRNA from 1 species